rnacentral:tRNA from 1 species
GAAGGUAUGGCUCAGUGGUACAGCACAUGUUUAGCAUGUAUGAAGCUCUGGGUUUGAGCCCCAGCAUCACA